rnacentral:misc_RNA from 1 species
AAGUCGUAACAAGGUUUCCGUAGGUGAACCUGCGGAAGGAUCAUUAACACGUAUCCACGUAUCAACCAAUGAGAACCUGUUUUCCCGUCUCCCUGUGCAAAGAAUGAAUUGGAACCAGUUUGAGGGAGUGAUGGGACCGAAAGGCCGGCCUUCCUGGUAUACUUAUGUAAAUAGAAAUGUUUGCAUAGACAAUUGUAUUUUUGUUACAGGCUAUUUCUUAUCGCUUUGAUCCCCAUCAUGAUCGUGGCGGUAGGGAAACUUUCACUAUAUUUACCUUUUUUGCUAGUUGACUUUUUAUAUGUGUUGUCUUGCGAAAGCAUGGUGGCACACGUUUAUUAAUUGAACGUUAAAAAAUACAACUCUUAGCAAUGGAUAUCUUGGUUCUC